GACGAACCGUGCGAACGUUGUUCGGAAUCACUGGGCUUAAAGGGCGCGUAGGCGGCUUGCCAAGUCAGGGGUGAAAUCUUGCGGCUCAACCGUAAUAAGCCUUUGAUACUGGCAGGCUCGAGGGAGGUAGGGGCAUGUGGAACUUCUGGUGGAGCGGUGAAAUGCGUUGAUAUCAGAAGGAACGCCGGUGGCGAAAGCGACGUGCUGGAUCUCUUCUGACGCUGAGGCGAGAAAGCUAGGGUAGCGAACGGG
rnacentral:rRNA from 1 species